ensembl:snoRNA
UGAUGACGCUUUCUCCGGAAUCUCUGUAGUCCGUGAUGACUGCGCGUGAACCCUUUUCUGGCUGAUGACCAAAGUGGCUCCCU